GUGCUUGCUUCAACAGCACAUAUACUAAAAUUGAAUUGAUUUGGAGAAGAUUAGCACAAGGAUGACAUGCAAGUUAGUGAAGUGUUUCGUAUUCUU
rnacentral:snRNA from 1 species